rnacentral:rRNA from 1 species
AUUGAACGCUGGCGGCAGGCCUAACACAUGCAAGUCGAGCGGAGCGGCGGCCGGUAGAGUACUGCCUAGUAAUCUGCCUGGUAGUGGGGGAUAACGUCCGGAAACGGGCGCUAAUCCCGCAUACUAUCAGAUGAGCCUCGGUCGGAUUAGCUCGUUGGUGGGGUAAAUGCCUACCAAGGCGACGAUCCGUAACUGGUCUGAGCGGAUGAUCAGUCAAACUGGAAGUGAGACACGGUCCAGACUACUAAGGGAGGCAGCAGGGGGGAAUAUUGGACAAUGGGCGAAAGCCUGAUCCAGCCAUGCCGCGUGUGUGAAGAAGGUCUUCGGAUUGUAAAGCACUGUAAGUUGGGAGGCGUUACCAACAGAAUAAGCACCGGCUAACUUCGUGCCAGCAGCCGCGGUAAUAC